UAACGCGUGGGUAACCUGCCUUGCACUGGGGGAUAACACUUAGAAAUAGGUGCUAAUACCGCAUAAGCGCACGAAGCCGCAUGGAUUUGUGUGAAAAACUCCGGUGGUGUAAGAUGGACCCGCGUCUGAUUAGCUUGUUGGCGGGGUAACGGCCCACCAAGGCGACGAUCAGUAGCCGGCCUGAGAGGGUGGACGGCCACAUUGGGACUGAGACACGGCCCAAACUCCUACGGGAGGCAGCAGUGGGGGAUAUUGGACAAUGGGGGGAACCCUGAUCCAGCGACGCCGCGUGAGUGAAGAAGUAUUUCGGUAUGUAAAGCUCUGUCAGCAGGGAAGAAAGAAAUGACGGUACCUGACCAAGAAGCCCCGGCUAACUACGUGCCAGCAGCCGCGGUAAUACGUAGGGGGCAAGCGUUAUCCGGAAUUACUGGGUGUAAAGGGAGCGUAGACGGUUAAGUAAGUCUGGAGUGAAAGGCCGGGGCCCAACCCCGGGACUGCUCUGGAAACUAUUCAACUUGAGUGCAGGAGAGGUAAGCGGAAUUCCUAGUGUAGCGGUGAAAUGCGUAGAUAUUAGGAGGAACACCAGUGGCGAAGGCGGCUUACUGGACUGUAACUGACGUUGAGGCUCGAAAGCGUGGGGAGCAAACAGGAUUAGAUACCCUGGUAGU
rnacentral:rRNA from 1 species